CAGCUUGCUGUUUCGCUGACGAGUGGCGGACGGGUGAGUAAUGUCUGGGAAACUGCCUGAUGGAGGGGGAUAACUACUGGAAACGGUAGCUAAUACCGCAUAACGUCGCAAGACCAAAGAGGGGGACCUUCGGGCCUCUUGCCAUCAGAUGUGCCCAGAUGGGAUUAGCUAGUAGGUGGGGUAACGGCUCACCUAGGCGACGAUCCCUAGCUGGUCUGAGAGGAUGACCAGCCACACUGGAACUGAGACACGGUCCAGACUCCUACGGGAGGCAGCAGUGGGGAAUAUUGCACAAUGGGCGCAAGCCUGAUGCAGCCAUGCCGCGUGUAUGAAGAAGGCCUUCGGGUUGUAAAGUACUUUCAGCGGGGAGGAAGGGAGUAAAGUUAAUACCUUUGCUCAUUGACGUUACCCGCAGAAGAAGCACCGGCUAACUCCGUGCCAGCAGCCGCGGUAAUACGGAGGGUGCAAGCGUUAAUCGGAAUUACUGGGCGUAAAGCGCACGCAGGCGGUUUGUUAAGUCAGAUGUGAAAUCCCCGGGCUCAACCUGGGAACUGCAUCUGAUACUGGCAAGCUUGAGUCUCGUAGAGGGGGGUAGAAUUCCAGGUGUAGCGGUGAAAUGCGUAGAGAUCUGGAGGAAUACCGGUGGCGAAGGC
rnacentral:rRNA from 1 species